CCCUUAGAUGUUCUGGGCCGCACGCGCGCUACACUGAUGAAUUCAACGAGUUUUCCACCUUGGCCGAAAGGUCUGGGUAAUCUCCAAAUUUCGUCGUGAUGGGGAUAGAUUAUUGCAAUUAUUAAUCUUCAACGAGGAAUGCCUAGUAAGCGCAAGUCAUCAGCUUGCGUUGAUUACGUCCCUGCCCUUUGUACACACCGCCCGUCGCUCCUACCGAUUGAAUGGUCCGGUGAAGCGUUCGGACCGUGGCCUUUGGACGGUUCGCCGUCUGUUGGCUGCGGGAAGUUCGUUAAACCUUAUCAUUUAGAGGAAGGAGAAGUCGUAACA
rnacentral:rRNA from 1 species